AGCUUCUCCCCGAGCCUCGUGUGUCACAGGAUUCAUGCCGGGGGGCAGCUCUGGAGGAGCCGCAGCCCUGAGUCGUGACCAAAGGUCGCUGGGUCUGCGUGGGACGCCCGCGUUCCUCAGGUGUUCCUGCUCACCACGGAGCGAGUGCUGAGUCUGUGCCCUGUCCCAGGCCGAGGCGGCUGAACUGAAGGUCUGCGCGUGACGGUGAGGAUGCUGCCCUUGCAGUUCCCUGUGGUUGUAUCUGCGUGGGCUCUUCAGGUUAUAGGAGGUAAUUUUGUCAAAGUGGAUGGCAAACGUUAAUAAAACCCAGUUCUCCAA